CCAAGGCUAAAUACUCCUGACUGACCGAUAGUGAACCAGUACCGUGAGGGAAAGGCGAAAAGAACCCCGGCGAGGGGAGUGAAAAAGAACCUGAAACCGUGUACGUACAAGCAGUGGGAGCACAGAGCAAUCUGUGUGACUGCGUACCUUUUGUAUAAUGGGUCAGCGACUUAUAUUCUGUAGCAAGGUUAACCGAAUAGGGGAGCCGAAGGGAAACCGAGUCUUAACUGGGCGUUAAGUUGCAGGGUAUAGACCCGAAACCCGGUGAUCUAGCCAUGGGCAGGUUGAAGGUUGGGUAACACUAACUGGAGGACCGAACCGACUAAUGUUGAAAAAUUAGCGGAUGACUUGUGGCUGGGGGUGAAAGGCCAAUCAAACCGGGAGAUAGCUGGUUCUCCCCGAAAGCUAUUUAGGUAGCGCCUCGUGAAUUCAUCUCCGGGGGUAGAGCACUGUUUCGGCAAGGGGGUCAUCCCGACUUACCAACCCGAUGCAAACUGCGAAUACCGGAGAAUGUUAUCACGGGAGACACACGGCGGGUGCUAACGUCCGUCGUGAAGAGGGAAACAACCCAGACCGCCAGCUAAGGUCCCAAAGUCAUGGUUAAGUGGGAAACGAUGUGGGAAGGCCCAGACAGCCAGGAUGUUGGCUUAGAAGCAGCCAUCAUUUAAAGAAAGCGUAAUAGCUCACUGGUCGAGUCGGCCUGCGCGGAAGAUGUAACGGGGCUAAACCAUG
rnacentral:rRNA from 1 species